rnacentral:rRNA from 1 species
GUGGAUUAGAUACCCCGGUAGUCCAUGCCGUAAACGUUGGGAACUAGGUGUGGGUCUCAUUCCACGAGAUCCGUGCCGCAGCUAACGCAUUAAGUUCCCCGCCUGGGGAGUACGGCCGCAAGGCUAAAACUCAAAGGAAUUGACGGGGGCCCGCACAAGCGGCGGAGCAUGCGGAUUAAUUCGAUGCAACGCGAAGAACCUUACCAAGGCUUGACAUAUGCGAGAACGCGGCAGAGAUGUCGUUCUCUUUGGACACUCGCAUACAGGUGGUGCACGGUUGUCGACAACU